CCCAAAAAGGAUGAAUCAAACCCAGUUACUGCAGAAUAUAACUUUCCAAUAUCACAAAACUAUCAUAAACCUCCAUUAAGUAUUUUCUUAAGGUAGGCCUCAUCCUCCUAGAGAAGGCCUACAAAAAUGUGAUUUGAGUAUGCUAUAAUAUUGCCAGAGGGCCAGCAAAAUCUUCACUAGAUGCAAUAUAAUUUGGCCAGAUGUAUUAGAGGACAUACUUUUUUGAUUUUUACAGUUUCUGAAGGCAAAAAAAAAAAUUUGAAAUUAUAUAAUAAGGGUGUUUGGAAAAACAAGAAUAGCAUUAUACAUCUGACCUAAAAGAUGAGAUUACAUUUGUAAUGUUUAGAAAUUGCCCUCCAAAUUUGGGAUCCAAGUGAAUAGCUUACUAUAACUGCUGAUAGAAAAGGUAUGGCACAUCCCAAGAGAACAAAGAUGGUCACAGGGCCUCUGGCCAUCUACUCCAUCCUAUACAUGAAAGGAUUAUGCAUUCUAAUACGUCCAACAUGUAGCACUAGUAACAAAUACUGUAUCAAAGAAUAAGCAUUUGAUUUCUGAGAAUUUGCUAUGGGGGAAAAAAAAGCAAAAGCUUGUAAACAAUUGGAUGAGAAUACAACAGAUAAUUAUGCCCAGGAACAUCUAACUUUAAUUAGUUCCAGACCCUCUCCUCUAUGGGUGACUGAAGCAAAGCAAGAGAGACACAAUGAUAACUAUGUGACAUAUGUAAACAGGAGUCAAAACCAGGGUGAACAGCAGCUGGCAGUUGGUGAUUGUUGGUUUCAAAAUCAAUAGCACAUUUGCAUCUAAAAAGGUAUUUGGUGGGGUUAGGAUCAGAAGGAUGAAGCCGUAUUUGUUGUCAGUGUGCUAGUCAGUACAGACAUCAGCGGAGUCAGAGGUAAAGGACAAGACCAUACAAAAUACUGAAAAGGUCAAUAGAAAUGUAACAAAAGGAAUAA